rnacentral:rRNA from 1 species
GAUGAACGCUGGCGGCGUGCUUAACACAUGCAAGUCGAACGAAGCUGUUAAAAGGAAGUCUUCGGAUGGAAUUUUAACAGACUUAGUGGCGGACGGGUGAGUAACGCGUGGAUAACCUGCCUUAUACAGGGGGAUAACGGAGAGAAAUUUCCGCUAAGACCGCAUAAGACCACAGCACCGCAUGGUGCAGGGGUAAAAUAUUAAUAGGUAUAAGAUGGAUCCGCGUCCGAUUAGCUGGUUGGUGAGGUAGAGGCUCACCAAGGCGACGAUCGGUAGCCGGCCUGAGAGGGUGAACGGCCACAUUGGGACUGAGACACGGCCCAAACUCCUACGGGAGGCAGCAGUGGGGAAUAUUGGACAAUGGGGGAAACCCUGAUCCAGCGACGCCGCGUGAGUGAAGAAAGUAUUUCGGUAUGUAAAGCUCUAUCAAGC